rnacentral:rRNA from 1 species
UGGGGUAUAUUGGACAAUGGGCGAAAGCCUGAUCCAGCCAUGCCGUGUGUGUGAAGAAGGUCUUCGGAUUGUAAAGCUCUUUAAGUUGGGAGGAAGGGCAGUAAGCGAAUACCUUGCUGUUUUGACGUUACCGACAGAAUAAGCACCGGCUAACUCUGUGCCAGCAGCCGCGGUAAUACAGAGGGUGCAAGCGUAAAUCGGAAUUACUGGGUGUAAAGCGCGCGUAGGUGGUUCGUGAACUUGAAUGUGAAAGCUCCGGGCUCAACCUGGAAACAGCAUCCAAAACUGGCGAGCUAGAGUAGGGCAGAGGGUGGUGGAAUUUCCUGUGUAGCGGUGAGAAGCGUAGAGAUAGGAGGGAACACCAGUAGCGAAGGCGACAACCUGGGCUCAUACUCACACUGAGGUGCGAAAAAGUGAGGAGCAAACAGG